rnacentral:tRNA from 1 species
GGAUUGUGGCUCAGUAGUAGAGCACUUGCCUCACAUGGGUGAGGCACUGGGUUCAAUCCUCAGCACCA